UGACACUUCAAGCAAAAAUGAUUGACAAAGAAAACAAACUUCAGGAGUUACUGCAAAAUUUUCAAGAUACAGAGCAGAAUUGUGUUAAGUUUCAAGAGGAAGCAAGUAUGAUUAUAUUUACAGUGCUUAAGCUGUUUGGUUUUUAUGAAGUAUGCUUUGUUUUUUUUUUUCACUUGAUGCCUUUGGUACUUGUAUAUGCUGUAAAGAUUUUGCAGUGAACACAUCCAUUCCUAGGACAACACUAUGAAAUGUUUCAAGCUUCUAAACAAGAACAAGAGAGCCUUUUUGAAAAACUGCAAAGAGCAGAACAGUCCAAUAAAGAAACUGAGGGAAAUAUGCAAACUCUAAAGACAGCUCUGGAGCAAAAGGAAACUGAGUAUGCAAAGGUCCUUGCAGAAAAAGACAGUUCUCUGAAUGAGCUUAAUAAGUUGAAAGGUGAACAAGAAGAGAAAUUUCUAGAGAUUCAAACUGCAGCCCUGGUAUUAGAGGAAUCACUAAGAUCUGAAAAGCGGAAGGCAAAAGAACUUGAAGCCUCACUGAGUUCAUUGACUGAGGAACUGAAGAGAACAAGUGGGAAAUUAGGUAAUGUUUUGCUAUACCAAAUGAAGCAUAACACCAAAAACUGGUUUUUAAUUAAAAAUAUUUUAUUUACCAUUGUAGGAGAAGUUGAACAAAAAAAAGAUGAAAAAGAAAGACAAAUGACAGUUCUCAGAGAGGAUAUGGAUAUCAAGGCAAAGAUUUUAACAUCAUUAGAGCAGAAGUUACAAAUGGUGGAGACAAAGGCAUCACAACUUGGUGUGGAUCUUCAGAGUAAAAAUGCUGAAAUUUUUCAGUUACAGGUGAGGUUGUCAGCUCUGAAGAACACCAGCCAUGCAACUCAAUUAACCGAAUGUAUUUUUUUAGUAUUUAAUGAAUACUGGG
rnacentral:lncRNA from 1 species